GAUUUUUUCAUUUCAGUCGAUAACGAUAUAUAUCACGAUAUAAGCCAAAUAACUAUAUUUGUAAGAUUUAAAUGUGCCGUUGCUCACAAGUAAAAUGUGAAAUAAUCAGCAGCUUGUUUUUAUUUAAAUAUUUAUUUCCCAUAAUAAGUUCAACAGGGUAGAUGUACUUAAGGAACAUGAGACUUUUUCAGAUAAAUAAAGGCAAAUAUUGCAAACUACACAAAAGGCAGCCGCUAAAGCGUUUAAGUUUCAAAAUAGAACAAACAAAACAGACUAAAUUGUCAAUUCCACUUAGAAACAAAAUAUUAAUUCUAAAAAAAAAUCUUAGUUUGUUUUACAGAAGAACAGACAAAACUGACUAACUUUUGUCAAUAUCAAAUAAACUGAGAACUAAAAGGAAAUUCUCAAUCUCUCCUUGUUGUAUAGCUUAGCUUUUCAAACAGUUUUAACAGUUACUUUAGUCUGACAAAAGCCGAAUGAUGAAUUAGCGCUUCCAGUCAGAGACUGAGGCUACGUCCACACGUACACGGGUAUUUUUGAAAACGGAGAUUUUCCGUUUUCGUUUUAAAAAAGAAUCCCGUCCACACAUAAAGGCAGAAAUGAAGGAAAACGCUGCUAUGAACAUGCCAAAGCAGCAGGUGGCGCUAGAUUCCUAACCGUGCAGAAAUGUUGGCCAAUCAGAAGUCUAGAAGCCUCGGUGGGAAAAAGUAAACAAAGCUGGGGCAUAGAAGCAGAACCGAGUCGUAUGUGUGGAGGGACAGUAACUGUGUGUAUGUGUAAGCAUUUAAACACUGCAGAGAGUAGAAUUAACAGUAACAGUAUUGUAGAAAUUCAUUUCACCGAAACAAUAACGUGGCGCACAGUGUGACGCAUGCACCAGUUUAUUGUAUUUCCAGACUUGCUUUCGGCACAAUUUACAGUGCACGCUACUCUGUUUUUUGUCAGACUUGAAAUAGCCAAAAUACCUUCACACUACGGAACUUCUAUGGCUCUUCCGUUCGACAAUCUCUCCGGCAUUGGAACCAUCAUCUGUUUUCUCUUCGGUCAUGCUCGGUUGAUUUUUCUAGUCGGCACACUCAUUUCCUCCAUUACGCGCUGGCUGCUUCCCAAACAAACACACGUGCGGCUUGGUACUUGUGCUGUACGUAACAAGUCACGCGACGUGACGCUGCGGCUGUGAUUGGUUCGGCUCUGCGCUACUUAAUUUGGAUUGGCUGACCCUUUUUUUUUUUUUUUUUUUUUAAGAGGACAAGAGCGGCGAGGUCUAUCGCGAUAGCUUAAUUUCUCUAUCGAGUAAAAGUUAUAUCGCGAUACAUAUCGUUAUCGUUCUAUCGCCCAGCUCUACUGUCUACUCUGUAUAAAAUGUGAACAUUAUCGCUUGCCUUCAACAACUUGAAAAGGACAAAAUCAUUGAGUGCCCUACAUAUAACCGUCUAUACCCAGGAAAUGCU
ensembl:lncRNA